CCUCCUUGACAUUGAUAACACGGCCAUCCUCCAAAAAGAAAGACCGCUGUCCCUCUUCCUCAGACAUGCCGAGGAUGCUGAUGGUGUCGAUGGCGGCGAUGGCCUUCUGGUGAACCUCCUGCAAGGUACUGGAGAAGGAGCCAGGUUUGCCCUGUUUAAGAUGGCUGAUGGAGACGUGGACUCCCAGGGAGAUGGGGAGUAGCGCCUGCUCCCGCCACAGGACGAUGUCAGCGUCAACACCGUCCUGCUUCAAUAAAGAAGUGGUUCUUUCCCCCUGAUGCUGUAUAUGCCAUACUGCCUAAUGAUGUAAGUAUUCCCUACUGAUAUCUUCCCCAUGUUUUCCUCCAUUAGGUUGAAUUUGGAUACAGUGAACCCAUCAGACACUACACAGGUCAGGUUAGACUUCAAUGACUUUGCAGCCACCUCCUCUUCGUCCCAUUCCAGGACUUUGGUCCACUCUUUGGUAGCCACAACAGUCACCGUUAUCGGUGGAGGUCGGCUGUAGGGCCCUGCAUAUGCUUUGCCAACAAGUGAUCCAGAAGGCCUAGUUAUUUUCCUUUUCAAUGGCAUGUCGUUCCUAAUUGUGUUCCCUGUUACAAUUUGUUCUUCCAGUUCUGCCUGUUUAUUUUAUUUAUUAGUUGUAUAGUUUAUUAGGUAUAUUAUAGUAGUGUAGUUAGUUGUAUCAGUUUUUUUCUAUGUCUGUUUAUUAAAUCGUUCAGUAGUAUUCUUAUGUAGUAUUUUUUUUUCAGUAUUACUGUGUUUCUUUUCUUUAUUGCAAU